AGUUUGAUCCUGGCUCAGAAUGAACGCUGGCGGUAGGCUUAACACAUGCAAGUCGAACGGAAACGAUGAAAAGCUUGCUUUUUAGGCGUCGAGUGGCGGACGGGUGAGUAACGCGUGGGAAUCUACCCUAUAGUUGGGGACAACAUAUGGAAACGUAUGCUAAUACCGAAUGUGAUCUACGGAUUAAAGGAGCCCUCUUCAUGAAAGGUUUCGCUAUAGGAUGAGCCCGCGCUUAGAUUAGCUAGUUGGUGAGGUAAAGGCUCACCAAGGCCACGAUCUAUAGCUGGUUUGAGAGGAUGAUCAGCCACACUGGGACUGAGACACGGCCCAGACUCCUACGGGAGGCAGCAG
rnacentral:rRNA from 1 species